rnacentral:sRNA from 1 species
UGAUAGGAAGUUGGUCCACUGUGACAUCCGCUGCUCUCUUGGUUGCCAAGGUUGAGCUGGCUGAUCUGGCGGGAUGAAGGAUGCCUACUUCCUCCCUCGCCCACCCAGAUGAGCUUCUCUAGUCAACUGAGCCAAGGAAUCGCCCUGCCCAGCUCAAGGGGCAAAGUGCAUGGGUCAAGGGUAUAGGAAGAGUUAGUUGUACCUCUCCGGCAGAAACCUAAAGAAUUUCUUGGCAUUCUUAUCUGUAUCACCAGAAUUUACCCAGCUAGACAGGGAUGGAUGUGGACUUGU